rnacentral:rRNA from 1 species
GCAAGGUUAAAACUCAAAUGAAUUGACGGGGGCCCGCACAAGCGGUGGAGCAUGUGGUUUAAUUCGAUGCAACGCGAAGAACCUUACCAUCCCUUGACAUCGCAGUGAACUUUCUAGAGAUAGAUGGUGCCUUCGGGAACACUGAGACAGGUGCUGCAUGGCUGUCGUCAGCUCGUGUUGUGAGAUGUUGGGUUAAGUCCCGCAACGAGCGCAACCCUUAUCCUUAGUUUCCAGCGAGUAAUGGUGGGAACUCUGGGGAGACUGCCGGUGAUAAACCGGAGGAAGGUGGGGACGACGUCAAGUCAUCAUGGCCCUUACGGGCAGGGCUACACACGUGCUACAAUGGCGCGUACAAAGGGCAGCGAACCCGCGAAGGUAAGCGAAUCUCACAAAGCGCGUCGUAGUCCGGAUCGGAGUCUGCAACUCGACUCCGUGAAGUCGGAAUCGCUAGUAAUCGUGAAUCAGAAUGCCACGGUGAAUACGUUCCCGGGCCUUGUACACACCGCCCGUCACACCAUGGGAGUGGGUGCACCAGAAGUGGUUAGUUUAACCU